rnacentral:lncRNA from 1 species
CCAAAGACAAAAAUAAUACAAAGAGGGAUAAUAUCCAACGUGUGAUUUUUUUUUGAGGAUGCUGUCAAUAUAGAUGAUGUUCACAACAUUUUUAUGGAGAUGAGAAACCAAGCAAGGAGUUGAUCA